rnacentral:rRNA from 1 species
AUUGAACGCUGGCGGCAGGCCUAACACAUGCAAGUCGAGCGGAUGAAGGGAGCUUGCUCCUGGAUUCAGCGGCGGACGGGUGAGUAAUGCCUAGGAAUCUGCCUGGUAGUGGGGGAUAACGUCCGGAAACGGGCGCUAAUACCGCAUACGUCCUGAGGGAGAAAGUGGGGGAUCUUCGGACCUCACGCUAUCAGAUGAGCCUAGGUCGGAUUAGCUAGUUGGUGGGGUAAAGGCCUACCAAGGCGACGAUCCGUAACUGGUCUGAGAGGAUGAUCAGUCACACUGGAACUGAGACACGGUCCAGACUCCUACGGGAGGCAGCAGUGGGGAAUAUUGGGCAAAGCGCGAAAGCCUGAUCCAGCCAUGCCGCGUGUGUGAAGAAGGUCUUCGGAUUGUAAAGCACUUUAAGUUGGGAGGAAGGGCAGUAAGUUAAUACCUUGCUGUUUUGACGUUACCAACAGAAUAAGCACCGGCUAACCUCGUG